rnacentral:lncRNA from 10 species
UUAAACUUACUUGACCAAGGAAUUUCAUGUACCCAGUAUUUCCAAAAUACAUUUUGGGAAAUUCUACCUGAACAGUAAGUUCCCAGAGGACAGAGAUGGUAUUGAAUUUAUAUCUGUUUCUCUAGCAUCCAGCCCAAGAACUGAUACACAAUAGGUCCUCAGGAAGUUUUUAUUGCUUUGAACAGAUGAAUUCUACUAACUAGUUGCCUUCUGGAAAAAUCUUACCUUAAAAUAAAUUUCUGUUAGUAAAACCUAUUCAUCACCAUCAUAAGACUGGAUAUCUAGUUCAGCUGUCUCUG